GGAGUUGGAACAGAGUGCAGUUUGGGGGAGCUGAAGUAGAGGAGAGUUUGGAGAUGUGCCAUGGCUGCUUAGAAGACCAAGACCCUAGGCUGUCCCCAGACUCUCAGCAUCUGGAAGCACCUUUGAGACUGGACACCCUUCUGUUGUACACCUGUGAACAAGAGUGCAGGUCAGCAUCUGUUGAGAAGUUUUCAUCGCUGCUUAUGCUGAAGAGUGGACAGGGAACAAUUUCAGUUAAAAACGUCUUGAGGAUAACAAGCCUGUUAAUAGCUUAUACUUUCUUUAAGUGGGCAAGGUACAUUUAGCCAUGACAGUUUUCUUUCACUGGAAUCAAGAGCCAUUAUCAGAUGUGACAGGGAAGAAUCAAUGGAAUUCAAUGAACAAAGGUCCUAUACAAUGGGAGCACUUCAGUUCUGGAAAAUGUCUAGGUUGUUUCUUGCUUCAUAGAGGCCACACAGUGGUGAAGCUUACAGUAAGAUUCUUUUCUCCAAUUAAUACUUGAUUCCCAUCACAAGUUUCAAGUAACCCCUUGAGAUAAGUUAAAGAUUUGCACAUUUUAAGGAAAAUAACUGGACUCAUGUGAUUGUAUUAAUAAAUUAUAUCAAAGGGCGCUGGUAUGUUCUUUAACCUGGGUUGAGGGACAAGUAAAGCAUGCUGUAUUAAAGUGUUUUGUUUUAUAUCUUGGUCAAUGUCUUAUUUUAUUAGUUAGUCCAAUGUAAGGUAACUGCUGCUGAGAUAUAUUCAUGCACA